rnacentral:rRNA from 1 species
AAUAGAUACCCCGGUAGUCCACGCCGUAAACGAUGAGUGCUAAGUGUUAGAGGGUUUCCGCCCUUUAGUGCUGCAGCUAACGCAUUAAGCACUCCGCCUGGGGAGUACGGUCGCAAGACUGAAACUCAAAGGAAUUGACGGGGGCCCGCACAAGCGGUGGAGCAUGUGGUUUAAUUCGAAGCAACGCGAAGAACCUUACCAGGUCUUGACAUCCUCUGACAACUCUAGAGAUAGAGCGUUCCCCUUCGGGGGACAGAGUGACAGGUGGUGCAUGGUUGUCGUCAGCUCGUGUCGUGAGAUGUUGGGUUAAGUCCCGCAACGAGCGCAACCCUUGAUCUUAGUUGCCAGCAUUUAGUUGGGCACUCUAAGGUGACUGCCGGUGACAAACCGGAGGAAGGUGGGGAUGACGUCAAAUCAUCAUGCCCCUUAUGACCUGGGCUACACACGUGCUACAAUGGAUGAUACAAAGGGCUGCAAGACCGCGAGGUCAAGCCAAUCCCAUAAAACCAUUCUCAGUUCGGAUUGUAGG